UUCCAAGCUCCAUGAUCACGCUGCUCACAAGGUGGAACAACAUGGCUCCCACAUCCAGAGUUACAAAGCACAUGACCAGCGUCUUACACUGAGAUCCUUUGAACUUUUGCCACUUACGGAUCUAGCCCCUUGCUUCCUCAACCACUGGCUCAGCUGUAGGAAAUCACAGGACCUUAAUGAGUAAGAGAGGCUAAAAGUCUUGGCUAUCUUUCGGAUAUGCUGCGAGGUGCAGGAAACCUCGGAUGCUGUGGAGGGAGCAGACUUCCAAACCCUAGAACAUUACGUACAGAGAUUGUUCAGCUCUUUACAAUAGAGUGGAGUGAUUAAGAGAGCGGGCUAGAGGUGGUCUGCCGGACUCUGCCACUUCGCUGCUGUGUCAUCUUGGGCAAGUUCUUUAACCGUUCUGUGUUUUAGUUUCAUUAUGUGUAAGGCGGGGAUAAGCAGAGAUGGACCUCUAAAAGCUGAGGUAAUGUACUAAAAGUUUUCAGGACUGUGCCCUACACACUCCAUAUGCUCAGAAAUGAAAAUGUCAGGCAUUAACGGAUUCAAGACUGAGAAACUUGACUGGACCAGGGCUGCCCAGCCUAGAGCAAAGACCCCGGUGAGGAGAGGCGAGCUUUGGUUGCUUCAGGGAUGUUCCACAUACUUGACUCAGAG